AGAAUCGGGGUGCUUACACAUGCAGUCGAGCGGUAAGGCCCUUCGGGGUACACGAGCGGCGAACGGGUGAGUAACACGUGGGUGAUCUGCCUUGCACUUCGGGAUAAGCCUGGGAAACUGGGUCUAAUACCGGAUAUGACCACGGAAUGCAUGUUCUGUGGUGGAAAGAUUUAUCGGUGCGAGAUGGGCCCGCGGCCUAUCAGCUUGUUGGUGAGGUAACGGCUCACCAAGGCGACGACGGGUAGCCGACCUGAGAGGGUGACCGGCCACACUGGGACUGAGACACGGCCCAGACUCCAGUGUGAGGCAGCUGA
rnacentral:rRNA from 1 species